rnacentral:lncRNA from 1 species
GUAUAGCAGAGGCUGGGAACCUCAGGGGGCCAACUUAGAAUUCUACCUACCACAGGUUUCAAUAAUAAGUAAGAGUUUCUUCUUCUCCCAAGAAGGGUUUGGAAGAUCUGUAUUCCUGAACUGCUGCAAGCUUGAGAAACUUGUCUAAUAACUAGAAUGGAGCCCUAGGGAACAGCGAGCCCGGGUGAUACUUUUCUGUCUCCUCUGGUAUGCAGCAAUGUUUGGCCCUGAGCUAACAUCUGCUGCCAAUCCUUUCUUUUUGGCUGAGGAAGACUGGCCCUGAACUCCGUGCCCGUCUUCCUCUACUUUCUAUGUGGGAUGCCUACCAGAGCAUGGCUUUUGCCAAGCGGUGCCAUGUCUGCACCCGGGAUCCGAAACGGCGAACCCCAGGCCGCAGAAGCGGAAUGUGCACACUUAACUGCUGCACCACCAGCCGGCCUCUCAAGUUAACACAUUUUAAAGAUAGAGUUAAGAAUUAUUCCCAUUAACCUCACUUCUUAAUGCACAGUAGCCAAUUAAUAAAUAUUGACCAAUCAUUCUA